rnacentral:ribozyme from 13 species
AAGAGGAAUGAGAAAGAGUGGCUUGUUCUUUCUGUUUUUGUUUUUCCCUUUCUUUUUCUUUCUCCUUUUCCAGUUGUUCCUUU